rnacentral:rRNA from 1 species
UACGUAGGGUGCGAGCGUUAAUCGGAAUUACUGGGCGUAAAGCGUGCGCAGGCGGUUCGCUGUGUCCCGUGUGAAAGCCCCGGGCUUAACCUGGGAAUGGCAUGGGAAACUGGCGAGCUUGAGUGCGGCAGAGGGGGGUGGAAUUCCGCGUGUAGCAGUGAAAUGCGUAGAGAUGCGGAGGAACACCGAUGGCGAAGGCAGCCCCCUGGGUCGACACUGACGCUCAGGCACGAAAGCGUGGGGAGCAAACAGG